AAUUGAGACAUAUCAGAUUUUAUUGUUCAGGUGAAGGUGUUUUAUGUAAUUAUAAAAUUAUGCAAAUAAAAAGUAUAAACUGCUAAACUCCAAAAAUAUGUUUAAAGCUUUCAUUGGUGAAGGGUUAUUUAAUAAACAUUGUGGUUGUUUAAAAAUCAGAUUUACAAAACUGAUAAAAGGUUUUGUUGAGGGUUUGUUAAUAAAAUUCUAUGUGGUUGAGGUGCAUCUGAAUUAUGCCCCUUUGUGGAAUAUUUACAUCACUAAGGAAGUGAGGUGGUUCAUUCUGGCCUCAAUUUCAUAUUGUGUGUAAUGUGACCAGAGAUUAAGUCUCUGAUUGGGUACAAGUUUUUUUAGGCAUAUUAAAUACACUGAGUGUCCAAGCACAUGGCACUUAGUAUCCAGCAUUGCACAGCACAGCAGCAGCACUGUUACUUGCCACAGAAGGUGCCAAAAAGGGGUAGAAUAGUAAACUCCAUUCCAUUCCAUAGAUGGGGUGAUGUUUUUGUGGACUUAACUACCCAACGGAGAAUAAAAUGUCCUCCCCUA